rnacentral:misc_RNA from 1 species
CCACACCGCGGGUCACUCAGUAAGCGUCGCGACGUCCGCGGCGUUGGGUGCACGUGUAACAAUCGGGGGCUGACGAAGUGCUGAAAUGGGGCCAGAUGGGGGGUGGUGGACAUUUUCGGGUGACAUUGUCAAUAAGAAGAGAACCCGGCGCCGGUCCAGUGUUUUGCAAAAUGGAGACGUCAGCGAGAUUCCGCCAGUUGAAAACCGUCAAGCUGAGCUGUGAGGCGACCUACAGGCUAGACAUCAGUUUCAAGCCACCGCAACUAUUGCAAACACUCACAAUCGGUGGAAAGCAAAUCGAAGCGGUUGAAAGAGCCAGAGAUGGUACAGCUUGCGCUUACAGCGCGUAUCACAAUACCGAAGGGAUCGUCGCCAGCAACAGAGGACAACGUGAGGAACUGCAAAUUGCAAUGAGAGUAUUAGGAUCCGGUUACCUGACGACAUGCUUGCAGAUAAAAUACUACCGGGCGGAUGAUCAGAGCCAUUGCGAGUGGGGCUCGCGUCUCCAUUGCAUAGAACUGGAUUGCUCCAGCGUUGAAGGAAGAUUGGUAACGGUUGACAGGGAGACCUACAGAAAAUUGGGCAUCGAUUCUUAGCAUUCUGGGGAAAAAUGGAUUUUCACGCAAUUAUCUAUUGUCCGCUAAAUUAUUACCUUAAACUCGCGAUUCAAUUGCUCAUGUACGAUUGCGGGCUGUGCUCUAUUUAUAAAUUAGUUAGCAAGAAAUAUAUGGGAGAGAGGGAAAUUCCCCUAAGGAUUUGCCAAGUUAACUACUAACCACAAUGAAAAUGUUACUCAAGAUAUGCCGGCAAAUUGACCUCGACAUUGAAUAUACUGUACCGUUUACUUCUUACUCAUUAUUUUCGACAUACGCAAACUCGGAAGACUAAUUCUAAGAAGCGAACUAGCGAAGUAACACCAUAAUUCAAUCUAUACAUGAUUCGUUGCAAAAAUGACCUCACAUACAUACUCUAUACA